UCGAACGUAAGAUGACUGUAGGUGAAAGCUUACAUCUCUUCGGGGCAUUUUACGAGGUGCUGCAUGGUUGUCGUCAGCUCGUGCCGUGAGGUGUCGGGUUAAGUCCCAUAACGAGCGCAACCCUACCUUUAGUUGCCAUCAGGUAAUGCUGGGGACUCUAAAGGAACUGCCUACGCAAGUAGUGAGGAAGGCGGGGAUGACGUCAAAUCAGCACGGCCCUUACGUCCAGGGCUACACACGUGCUACAAUGGCCGAUACAGAGGGCAGCUACCUGGUGACAGGAUGCAAAUCUCCAAAGUCGGUCUCAGUUCGGAUCGGAGUCUGCAACCCGACUCCGUGAAGUUGGAUUCGCUAGUAAUCGCGCAUCAGCCAUGGCGCGGUGAAUACGUUCCCGGGCCUU
rnacentral:rRNA from 1 species